rnacentral:misc_RNA from 1 species
UAAAAAACACCGCAAUCCAAUUACUCUACGAUAUUCUAGAUUCUGCCCUACGGGGAAGGAUGAGAAGCUUCGACCAAGGUUCGACUCGAGCGUAGCGAGAGAACGUUGCCGCAGGCAACGGCCCGAAGGGCGAGGAGCGAUAGCGACGAGUUAUCCUUCCCCCACCACCA